GAAAUGUGUUAAGGCUCCACUUCAAAUGUUGGCACUGCUAUGAGCAUGGUUUUUCCCUUUACUGUAAUUCAGAAUUUAACUUUGGAUUCUCAGUUUAUAUUCCAGUCCCAGCAGUUUUCACUGUAGAAGUUAUCUGAAGACAGUCUUAUACUUUCUAGUAGUUGUCUACAAACCAGGCUUUAGCUUCUCCAGGAACACACUACAGGAUGGAUUUAGCUUAAAUGUACAUUAAACUAAUAGGCAUUCUCUCAAAUGAAUUUAAAUGCAUUUUAUUUUUAGACAACCUACAUGACAAUGUUUUUUGCCUUAAAAACAAUGCCUCCACUUGAAGUAAAUCAUGGUCAAAAUAAGUGAGGAGCUCAAGAUAACAUCAGUCCCACUUCCUGUAAAUCCUGUGCUUUCGGUACCUUCGCCCUCCGGGCCUUCGGCGGAGGCAUUCCCACCGAUGAGCGAAUCAUCAAUGUUACCCUCUGUCCUACUGACCAUCUUCCCCUCCACCUCCAGGCACAGUCCGCCCGCGAUCUCCUGGAUCUUGUAGAUGUCGGAGAACAUCUCAUCGUGGCUGAUGAGGUCCCGGUAGAUAAUCAUGAUGGCGGCCGGUAGGAGACGACGACGGCGGCGCUAGCUUGGCAGGAGCCCGGAGCUCAGAGCGAGUGCAGUGCAGCCGGAGCGGCCCUAGGCGGUAGAGGGGAGUGGGCGGAUUUUGAAAACCUUGGAUUCCAUUAUUCAGGAAAUAUUUUUUUCAUUACCUUUUAAUUAUGAAAACUCUUAAAUCACCAAAAGUGGUAGAACCUGUGGAUAAUUUCAUUGAUUUUUCAUAAGAUUAAUAGUCUGUCUUUCAAUAUUUUUGUGUUUUAAAACUGUCUACUUAUUUACUGGAAAGGCAGAAAGACAUGGAGAGAAAGAGAGAGAGAGAGAGAGAGAGAGAGAGAAGACAGAGAGCUCCUACCUAUUGGUUCGCUCUCAAAUGAAUACAAUAGAUGGGUAUUAAAACUUGGAGCUGGGGCCUGCACUGUGGUGUAACAGAUAAAGCCUCCAUCUGCAGUGCUGGCAUCCCAUAUGGGUGCCGGUUCCAGUCUUGGCUGCUCCACUUCCAAUCCAGCUCUCUGCUAUGGCCCCUGGAGAUCAGUAGAAGAUAGCCCAAGUCCUUGGGCCCCUGCACCUGCAUGGGAGACCUGGAAGAAGCUCCUGGCUCCUGGCUUUGGAAAGGCACAGCUCCAGCUGUUGCAGCCAAUUGGGGAGUGAAGAGGAAGACCUCUCUCUCUCUCUCUCUCUCUCUCUCUCUCUGCCUCUCCUUCUCUCUGUGUAACUCUGACUUUCAAAUAAAUAAAUAAAUCUUAAAAAAAAAACA
rnacentral:lncRNA from 1 species